UACGGAGGAUGCGAGCGUUAUCCGGAUUUAUUGGGUUUAAAGGGUGCGUAGGCGGUUUAUUAAGUUAGUGGUUAAAUAUUUGAGCUAAACUCAAUUGUGCCAUUAAUACUGGUAAACUGGAGUACAGACGAGGUAGGCGGAAUAAGUUAAGUAGCGGUGAAAUGCAUAGAUAUAACUUAGAACUCCGAUAGCGAAGGCAGCUUACCAGACUGUAACUGACGCUGAUGCACGAGAGCGUGGGUAGCGAACAGGAUUAGAUACCCUGGUAGUCCACGCCGUAAACGAUGCUCACUGGAUCUUGGCGAUACACAGCCAGGGUUCAAGCGAAAGUAUUAAGUGAGCCACCUGGGGAGUACGUCGGCAACGAUGAAACUCAAAGGAAUUGACGGGGGCCCGCACAAGCGGAGGAACAUGUGGUUUAAUUCGAUGAUACGCGAGGAACCUUACCCGGGUUUAAAUGUAGAUUGCAUGAGGUGGAAACACUUCUUCCCUUCGGGGCUAUUUACAAGGUGCUGCAUGGUUGUCGUCAGCUCGUGCCGUGAGGUGUCGGGUUAAGUCCCAUAACGAGCGCAACCCCUACCGUUAGUUGCCAUCAGGUGAAGCUGGGCACUCUGGCGGGACUGCCGGUGUAAGCCGAGAGGAAGGUGGGGAUGACGUCAAAUCAGCACGGCCCUUACGUCCGGGGCUACACACGUGUUACAAUGGUAGGUACAGAGGGCAGCUACCCAGCGAUGGGAUGCGAAUCUCGAAAGCCUAUCUCAGUUCGGAUUGGAGGCUGAAACCCGCCUCCAUGAAGUUGGAUUCGCUAGUAAUCGCGCAUCAGCCAUGGCGCGGUGAAUACGUUCCCGGGCCUUGUACACACCGCCCGUCAAGCCAUG
rnacentral:rRNA from 1 species